GCACUCGUGGCGAAAUGGCAGACGCGCACGCUUGAGGUGCGUGUGGAGAAAUCCAUGGGAGUUCGAGUCUCCCCGAGUGCA
rnacentral:tRNA from 1 species